GUCUCUGACCAUGCCACCCUGAACAAGCCCAAUCCUGUCUGAUCUUGGAAGCUAAGCAGGGUCGGGCCUGGUUAGUACUUGGAUGGGAGACUACCUAGGAAUAUCAGGAGCUGUAGGCA
rnacentral:rRNA from 1 species